rnacentral:rRNA from 2 species
AGAGUUUGAUCAUGGCUCAGAUUGAACGCUGGCGGCAGGCCUAACACAUGCAAGUCGAACGGUAACAGGAAGCAGCUUGCUGCUUUGCUGACGAGUGGCGGACGGGGGAGUAAUGUCUGGGAAACUGCCUGAUGGAGGGGGAUAACUACUGGAAACGGUGGCUAAUACCGCAUAACGUCGCAAGACCAAAGAGGGGGACCUUCGGGCCUCUUGCCAUCAGAUGUGCCCAGAUGGGAUUAGCUUGUUGGUGAGGUAACGGCUCACCAAGGCGACGAUCCCUAGCUGGUCUGAGAGGAUGACCAGCCACACUGGAACUGAGACACGGUCCAGACUCCUACGGGAGGCAGCAGUGGGGAAUAUUGCACAAUGGGCGCAAGCCUGAUGCAGCCAUGCCGCGUGUAUGAAGAAGGCCUUCGGGUUGUAAAGUACUUUCAGCGGGGAGGAAGGUGUUGUGGUUAAUAACCGCAGCAAUUGACGUUACCCGCAGAAGAAGCACCGGCUAACUCCGUGCCAGCAGCCGCGGUAAUACGGAGGGUGCAAGCGUUAAUCGGAAUUACUGGGCGUAAAGCGCACGCAGGCGGUCUGUCAAGUCGGAUGUGAAAUCCCCGGGCUCAACCUGGGAACUGCAUUCGAAACUGGCAGGCUUGAGUCUUGUAGAGGGGGGUAGAAUUCCAGGUGUAGCGGUGAAAUGCGUAGAGAUCUGGAGGAAUACCGGUGGCGAAGGCGGCCCCCUGGACAAAGACUGACGCUCAGGUGCGAAAGCGUGGGGAGCAAACAGGAUUAGAUACCCUGGUAGUCCACGCCGUAAACGAUGUCUACUUGGAGGUUGUGCCCUUGAGGCGUGGCUUCCGGAGCUAACGCGUUAAGUAGACCGCCUGGGGAGUACGGCCGCAAGGUUAAAACUCAAAUGAAUUGACGGGGGCCCGCACAAGCGGUGGAGCAUGUGGUUUAAUUCGAUGCAACGCGAAGAACCUUACCUGGUCUUGACAUCCACAGAACUUUCCAGAGAUGGAUUGGUGCCUUCGGGAACUGUGAGACAGGUGCUGCAUGGCUGUCGUCAGCUCGUGUUGUGAAAUGUUGGGUUAAGUCCCGCAACGAGCGCAACCCUUAUCCUUUGUUGCCAGCGGUCCGGCCGGGAACUCAAAGGAGACUGCCAGUGAUAAACUGGAGGAAGGUGGGGAUGACGUCAAGUCAUCAUGGCCCUUACGACCAGGGCUACACACGUGCUACAAUGGCGCAUACAAAGAGAAGCGACCUCGCGAGAGCAAGCGGACCUCAUAAAGUGCGUCGUAGUCCGGAUUGGAGUCUGCAACUCGACUCCAUGAAGUCGGAAUCGCUAGUAAUCGUGGAUCAGAAUGCCACGGUGAAUACGUUCCCGGGCCUUGUACACACCGCCCGUCACACCAUGGGAGUGGGUUGCAAAAGAAGUAGGUAGCUUAACCUUCGGGAGGGCGCUUACCACUUUGUGAUUCAUGACUGGGGUGAAGUCGUAACAAGGUAACCGUAGGGGAACCUGCGGUUG